ACACUGCUGAUUAAGACAAUCCAGAAGAUGUCUUGUGGAUAUUCAUUGGAUUGUCUAUAUAUGCCGGGUUAUUUAAAUUAUAUCAAAAUUCUGCUGCUUAUUAAAUGCUAUAGUUUACAAUAAAACAAUAAGAUAACUCAGCCUCGUUGGCUAUGAGCGAAUAGUAAACUCAGCCUCGUUGUAAUAAUACAUUCGUCCUAAUAUUUAUAAAUCUGAGGCCAAUCUCCGACCGGUGUAAUAACCCCAACGACCGACAAGUGUGACGCCACAUUAGGCGAAAACCCUGGGAACGAGGUUGCGCAUUCGUUUCAAAAUUCAAAUUUUUUACAACGACAUUCUUGGCUGUUCUACGAGGAGAUUGCAAUUUUAUUUGAUAAAAGACAUAAAAGGAUAAUCUUUGUCACUCUCCUAAUACGAUUGGAAAUGAAAUAGGUGCUGGUUCACUGGAUUGAGUCAAAUAAGACAAGCAUCUUAAAGAAAGAAUAUAUUAUUUAAAGACAAAAGUGUGCAUGCUAAAACAUCCCGAGAAGGAUCGCAUGGUUUUGUUUGGAUACUCAAAGAUGAAUUCCCCAAAGACGGCAUGGAAAUCGUAUUUUGAAACGUUUUGGCAGAAAGUGAUAGCAAGAAUGAGUUACUAAUGAAAACUUAGCUUGAAUUGAGCAGUUGGAGGAUAACAGUGAUAAUAACAGUGAUGAUAAUAAAGCCAAGAAGAGGCGAUUAGAUGUGACCAGUGCUGACAAUAAGAAACCAAAGAAGAAUAUAAAGCUUUUGUCAUCAUGAAAUUUCCUCAAGCAAAUAAUACAAUUUUAAAAGCUGUUAUGACACAAGAGUGCAAAGAAUUUAGGCUGUCAAUGGAAAACCGAAGAAAGAAUCAGGAAGAUCUUAGCAACAAUUAAGGACAGUAGGAUGACUAAAUAAAUUAUAGUAUUAUAAUUCAUUUUUUUAUAUUUACAGAUGUAUCUUUUACUCUUUAACAUAGUCAAAUGUUUCACUUCAUUUUGUAAUAUGGUUUUCAAUAUAUGUGCAUUAAUUUACUUCACCUGGUAAUACUGUGUCUGAGUGAUUUAAUGAUAAUUAAAGGUGUCAUGCAGUAGUUUGUGUGGAUCACAUGUGAACCACAUGUGAACGUCAAAACAGACUAACAUGUGAACCACAUGUGGUUGUUCCAGAUCCACAUGUACUGAACCACAUGUGACUCACAUGUGAUACUACCACAUGUGAUACUACCACAUGUGAACCACAUGUGAUACCACCACAUGUGAACCACAUGUGAUAUAAUGGUUCCAAUUUCACAUGUGAGUCACAUGUGAUUCCACAUGUGGUUUU
rnacentral:lncRNA from 1 species